UACGUAGGGGGCUAGCGUUGUCCGGAUUUAUUGGGCGUAAAGAGCGUGUAGGCGGCCAGGUAGGUCUGCUGUGAAAACUCGAGGCUCAACCUCGAGACGUCGGCGGAAACCAUCUGGCUAGAGUCCGGAAGAGGAGAGUGGAAUUCCUGGUGUAGCGGUGAAAUGCGCAGAUAUCAGGAGGAACACCGGUGGCGAAGGCGGUCAACUGGUCCAUUACUGACACUAAAGCACGAAAGCGUGGGUAGCGAACAGG
rnacentral:rRNA from 1 species